GAAUUGUUUAACUAUCUUGUCGAAUUCUUUGUGAACAGAUGUUUACAUCUCAAAUUUAAAUUGUGCAAGUUUAACGAAGCAGUAAGCCUAAUCGUAAUUAUGCAUUUUUGUGUUAAGUAUUUAUGUAAUGCUAAUACAUACAGUAUAUAUAUUAAAACAGAAAAAAUCAAACUGGAUGUUAAGCUGUCCGAAACAAUUCGAAAGUUAUUAUAAAUCGUUCUGUUCGUGUAUAUUGUCAAUAUUAUUGUGCUUAAAGAAAAACAGUUUACGGUAGGACAACAAUGCAAGUAACAUAUCAAUGUUAUGUGUGCGCUGUGCUAGGCGCUAUGUUGCUCCCGGAAGUUAACCUAACGCCAGAUGGCGCGCUAUUCCAAAUCAGCAGCCCGACAGCAACUGUUAUAGAGCCUCGCGUUUUCACCGAAGAUCCACCAUUGUGCGAAUUUAGUAUCUGGGAGCAACGCAAGAUAUUCUUUGUGGACCGUUUGCGCCAAAUGAAUUCGAAAUUUAUCAAGUUUGGAAUACAAUUUUAUAAUGGGACAAAUGUGAUUAAACACACUGAGCCACAAGUCUUGAAACCAAAACUCUGUUUUUGGACGUAUUCCACGGCGGGUGAAACAUAUCCGUAUCUGAAUUGGAAUGUCGACUUUGGGUUGCUUACAUUUGGUCUUCUAGACGCAGAAACGAUUUAGAUCCCUUAUGUGGAUUUUAAGGCAUACACUACAUCAAAAUGUAUUGUGAACUUUGGUGCAAAUGAAUCCAUGAUAAAUGUUGCAAAAGCUUUGUCGGAGCUAGUGGUUAAUGAAACAGUAAAUGAGGUGCACCAGUUUGAACAAAUAUCUUUUUGUUAUUUAAUAGAGAUCGCUGGAGCUAAAUCUGGAUUCGAAUAUUAUGCUGGACUUUACCUUCAAUAUCCAGUACCGUUUAUUCAAUAUUCGUGUUGUGAAAUAAUAUAUUAUUACACCACAAGUAAAUAUUCGGAUCCGGUUUGUAACAUAACUCACGACAAAUGGACUUUAUGCUUCCUAGGUCCAUACAUCGUAGGCGUAAUGAUUCUUUUGUUCUUCCCAAUAAUGCUUUUUGAAUUAUUUCACUCAAUUUCCAAAGACGAAGUAAUUCAAUCGUACGACCACGAGAGUACGAAUGAGUUAUCUUGUUUAGUCUAUAAUCGCCAACAUGAAGCGCAGUGGGUUUUCCUAGAUGGAGCAUCGCCAUUGACCUUAUCCCAUCUACCAGCCAAGAUUUUCGCGGGAUUCAAGGAAGCGCAACCAGUCUUGCGGUCGCGACUACGACGGUUUGUGUACAUGCUUUUGCAGGGGAAUUGACUUUGUGUCUGGCCAGAGUUGAAUGUGUCUUUCGCAUGCGUGUAUACAGUAAGUGUUAUUUCGUAAACUGGCUAAAUAAAAUUAACACCACAGACUGAAUACUGAAAUGCCGAAACUAACAAACGUAUAAUUUAAGAGAUUAAUUUUAUUAUUAUAUGUUCUUUACUCAAAAUUGAUUGGUUUUACUUGCAUUUGUAGUGAUCUGAAGUUCAAUAUUAUUAUCAAAUGUUCUAUACUCAUUAUUGAUUAAUUUUACUUUCAUUUGUAGUGAUCUGAGGUUCAAUAUUAUUAUCAUAUGUUCUAUACUCAUUAUUU